rnacentral:lncRNA from 1 species
AAAAAUGUGGCCCGAUUUUGUAAACUCUCAAAACUAAUAAAUUUUAUGCAAAUUUGCCUUUAAAUAUAGUUUUUAGAUUUUAAAAUUUAAAAUUUAUAUUUUAAAUUUCAAAUUUUGAAUUUUAAAUUCUAAGUAUCAACUUCCAAAAAUUAAAGUUUUAAAUGUAAAUUUUAAAUUCAAAUUUAAAUUUAUCUCAAAAUAAAAUUUAGACAAAAAAAUUCAGUAAAAAAAAAUUUACCAAGCAACUUUACAAAAUUACUUUUUUUAAAAAAAUUGGUUUAUACAUCUAGGGCGUGUUUGGUUCGAAGUCGGAGUCGGAAUCGGAAUCAUGAUCAAAAUAAGCUGGAAUCGGAAUCGGAAUAACUCAUUACCUAAUUCCGUUUGGUUCAUCACUUGAAUCGGAAUCGGAAUAAAUCAUUCCCAUUGUUGAUGUUUGGUUCAUGUAGAUAUAAAAAACAUAAUCAAAUUAAUAUACUGACAUUAUCUUUAUAAUAUAUUAAUUUAAAUUCAAAUUAUAAAUUAAAUAUUAAAAAUUUACAUCAAAAUUUUUAAAUAAUGUCAAAUUUUAAAUCUAUUUUUUUAAAAUAAAUUAAUCUUUGAAGUUGAGUGGAUAAUUCAAAAUAUGAAACUAAAUUUUUAUUUAUUCAAAUUCAAACUUAAAAUUACAAUUUAAAUUUUAAUUUGAAUCCGUAAAUUUAAUUUAAGUUUGAAAUAAAAUUUGAAUAAAAUUUAUAUGAAUUAAAAUUUAAUUUAAAUUCAAAUUCAUAAGUUAGAUUCAAAAUACUUGAUUACAUUUUAAUUUUUAAUUUAAGUUCAAAUUAAAAUUUAAAAUUAUAUAUUUAAUUUUUAAAUUUUAACUCAUAUUUUAAUUAAAAAAGUUGAAAAAAUAAAUUUAAUCCGAAUAAAUAUUCAUUCCGUCCGGAUUCAACUUUCAAUCCAGCCUUCUAGACCGGAUUGAAAAAAGGGGUGAUUCGGGGAUUCCCAUUCCACUCGGGAAUCGGAAUCGGAAUGGGACUUCCGCGAACCAAACACCCAUAAACGGAUUCAUCCAUUCCGAUUCCGAUUUCAUGGUGAAAAAGAAACGAACCAAACAUGCCCCUAGACUCAACCAAAUACUAUAUAUAACUUCGAAACAAAAUUAAUUUUUUAACCCAAAAUAAAUUUGUGUAAAAAUUUCUUCUCCAAC